rnacentral:rRNA from 1 species
CGGACGAGUGAGUAAUGUCUGGGAAACUGCCUGAUGGAGGGGGGUAACUACUGGAAACGGUAGCUAAUACCGCAUAAUGUCGCAAGACCAAAGGGGGGACCUUCGGGCCUCUUGCCAUCAGAUGUGCCCAGAUGGGAUUAGCUUGUUGGUGGGGUAACGGCUCACCAAGGCGACGAUCCCUAGCUGGUCUGAGAGGAUGACCAGCCACACUGGAACUGAGACACGGUCCAG